CCUACGGGAGGCAGCAGUGGGGAAUCUUGCGCAAUGGGCGAAAGCCUGACGCAGCAACGCCGCGUGCGGGAAGAAGGCUUUCGGGCUGUAAACCGCUUUCAGCAGGAACGAAAAUGACGGUACCUGCAGAAGAAGGAGCGGCCAACUAUGUGCCAGCAGCCGCGGUGAUACAUAGGCUUCAAGCGUUGUCCGGAUUUAUUGGGCGUAAAGAGUUCGUAGGCGGUCAAGUAAGUCGGGUGUGAAAAUUCUGGGCUCAACCCAGAGACGCCACCCGAUACUGCUUAACUUGAGUUCGAUAGGGGAGUGGGGAAUUCCUAGUGUAGCGGUGAAAUGCGCAGAUAUUAGGAGGAACACCGGUGGCGAAGGCGCCACUCUGGAUCGAUACUGACGCUGAGGAACGAAAGCAUGGGUAGCAAACAGGAUUAGAUACCCUGGUAGUCCAUGCCGUAAACGGUGGGCACUGGGUGUGGGUUUCUAUUAACGAAAUCCGCGCCGUCGCUAACGCAUUAAGUGCCCCGCCUGGGGAGUACGGUCGCAGACUAAACGUUAAAGUAAGUAGACGGCGUGAGACGUGCCGAACGGACGACGACGAGGGAGUAGG
rnacentral:rRNA from 1 species